AAACAUUUUCUUUUUUUAAUUUCAUUAUUAUUCUUUUAUCUUAUUUUUUUUUAUCUGAUUAACUUCUUCAGCAGAUCUCCCCAGAAGCUUAACGUUCAUCAGCUCGAAGGUGUUCGUAUCUUGUUUCUAAACAGCCAGCACUUUCUCUACAGGGUUCUAUCCGCUGCUUUUCAUUGAAUACUUUUUUCAUCGUUUAUCCGAGGACGUGACGCAUGAAAUUAAGUAAUAUAUUUGUGUUGGCUUCAUGACAACCCCCCGAGGAGUGGCGACUAAACAUCUCACGAAAACACCUUCCCCUCUUAGAGUAUAUCUCAGAAU